CAUGUUUUGGCUUUCAAAGUAUUUCACCAAAUGAGCUGGGAGGAGGCUGUUGCUAGAAUGUGGGUGCCUGGUUACUGGGUUCCAAGUUCUGUUUGGCUCUAUGACCAAGGAAGGGAGAGGCCAUGUCUUGGGGUUCCUGGCCUAACCCAUCCUCCAGAUAAGCCCAUGUUUGUCCCUCUGUUGGCUCUCCUCCAGCCCCAUGACUUUUUAUGUGUGUACACAGCCAACCCCAACACUGGCCCCAUAUCCCUUGACAGGCCUGGGUGCACCAGGGUCCCAGCUCUGAGGAGACACAGCUAGGUUUCAACCCAGCUCCUCCUCUGUCCUCUCAUGGGACUUUGGACAAGUCAUCGUCUCUGAGGCUUGCCCAAUGUCCCUCUGCACUUUGGCAUCAUCCUAGCAUCUGCUUCCAAGCAGUGUCACCAGGCAUGUGUGAAAUAACACUUAGAAACCAGGUUGUCACAUCUGUGUAAUGCACAAAAACAGAGUUAAGAACAGGCCUAGUCUCCUGCCUCAUGACUUUGAAAAUGCCAUUUUCCUUCCUGGCCUUCUUUCUCCAUCUGCAUCUUGAGGGGAUUGAGAUGCAAUUCUUGGGGAUAUCCUCACCUCCCAGAACCACCCACCUUGUUACCUUGUUACCUUGUUCUCUUUGGGAUGACUGAGAGUAAGCACAUAUCUGGGCACCUUAGGGACCCCCCAACAAUGAAAUUCUGGCCUUUUCCCCUUUUCCAUUCUCAGGGUCCCAGUCAAGGUACAUGGAGACGGGCUGCCCUUAUUCCACAGAAGUGCCAUCUCUCUCCUCUUUCUUCUUUUGUUUUUGGUCUCAGGGAGUGAUCCCAGGGGCGCUUAACCCCCAAGCCACAUCACCAACCUGUUUUUCUGUGUUUUAUUUUGAGGCAGGUUGUCACAGUGUUGCUGAGGUUAACUUUGAACUUGUGAUCCUCCUUCCUCAGCCUCCCGAGCUUCUGGUAUUGCAGACGUGCACCACCAUGCCUGGCCUCUUUCUCCUUUUCCAUGUCACCUCCUGGGACCUCCAUGUUCUCUGAUCUCCAUGUGUAUGCAUCUCUGUUUUUGUACCUAUUGGGAGGCUAAAAAAAAUACUGUCACAUGGCAAAGGCAGGCAGUUGUCCCCAGCAUCAUAGAAGUUCUUAAUCCAAAGGAAACACUAUGGGAGAUGACUGAACCCUGAGCUAGGAAGUGAGGACUCUGCCUUUUCCUCUGGGGUCUAUCCUUGUCCUAUUCUCUGGGCCAGUCCCUGUGUGACACCGGGCCUCAGUUUCCCACAUGUCCAGAGAAGGGUUAGAGAGGAAGUGACACAUAGGCCUUCUGGACACUUCUGCUGCAUAGUUCCCCAGGCUGGGCAGUGUUGGGCAGGAUGGUGCUGCAGAGUCCCAGGUUACUGUCUUCCCAGGGUAGGUGCAGGUGUGCCCUGCUUGGUGCAGCCUGGCCUUGUGUUCCCAGCAUGUAUGUGCUGCCAUUGACACAGGCAUGGAAACAGUGCCACACAACACACUCCUGGGUCUCCCAUCCUUCCUCAAAUGUCAGGUCUCUUUGUCCCAUGUUCCCAAAGCCAGAAUGUAUAAUAUGUCCCUCUCAACUACAUGGAUGUUGUGGGGAGGGGUGGAUCCACAAAGUGAAUGUGAGGUGCUGUGUCUAUAACAAGUGGGCUUGGAUGGAUCUGGUGAAAGCACCAGAUCCUGAGAAUCGUGCAUUGUUAGAGUCUGUAAACAAGUCAGGAUGGCGCCUGGCAUUUUGCCAGAGGGAGUGGUUUGUGAAGUAACUCCAGCGAGCCAUUAAGUGUGGAGAUUCCUUAUUGGUUGACUGAUGUAUCUAGUUUAUGUUAAUUAGAUAAGCUGUGUGGAAUGUAUAAAUACCCCUCCUGUCCUACAAUACACGGCUUCCACUCCUGCUGUAUCAAUGUACACAAGUUGCUCGUCACCCCCCCCCACCCCCCCGUUAUUCUGUUGCAGCUGGACUGCGGCAGAUGGUGGCCCAUACCAGGAGCCCCGGGACACUCGGGGGUAAGUGACGAAAAAAAAAGCUGCCCGUCCAUAGAUAGGACAGGAGCAAAUCUGCUCGUCCCUAGGCAGAUAGGGCGAGAGGAAAAAUGGCCAUUUUGAGAAAAUGGAGAAGAUUGAUACAGUAUGUUUGUGUCUUGUUUUGUCUCAGUGUAUUGUAUUGGUUUUGUGCUGAAAAUAUGGAAGGGGUGAAAAGUAAAUUACUAAGGGAAGGAAGCACCCCAGUGGAACCAAGAAUAGUUAGGGCAUGUGUUGAUGGAAGCCCAGGAACUCUAGUCAGAAAGAAGAAAAAAAUUCAGAGGAGGAAGGAUUAUCAAGAAAGACAUUGCAAAAGGCUACUACUGAAUACUUUUUGUUACCGGAGGGUGCAUCAAUCGGCGGCUGCCACGUGCGCGAGCUGGUCAUGGCGCAGCAAGGGCUUUCCAAGCAGGGGCAAGCGGCUUUUCCCCCCCCCCCGGCCCCGCCCGGAGAGCGGGAUGCCACUUCGAGAGCCCAAAUCCAAACCUGACCCGGAGGCAGGGUCUCCUAGGCUCUUGCUCCCUGUGCCUGGAAGCAGUUUGAGUCUGGGACUCUCCCCAGGGCCAUCUGGGGCUGCCCGCACAGAAGAGGCUAUCUGCGUCCCUGAUGUUUGGUCAUUUUCAAUGCCAAUAACUAAGCUACAAUGGUUCUCCCACACCUGGAGGCUGAUGAAUAAGGAGCACCAUUAAGGCUUAUUUCAAAUGUAAAAAUCCUUGAGAUAAUGUACUAAAUUGUUCAGAAGGUUGUUUUCUUAGUGGAAUGCUACAGGAUUUUCUUUAGUGGCCUUGCUAGAGUUCCCGCCUUCAUCCCAGUGCCAGUGAAAACGAAGGUGGAAGAAUUUCCAGUGUUGCUGAAAACCAGAUGAGACUUCGGCUGAGAAAAGGACGAGACUUUGGAUCAAGCUAGCUGCCUGCAGAACUUACCUGGACUGUGAUUUAAGCUAGCUGCCUGCAGAACUUACCUGGACUGUGAUUUACCUGGACUGUGAGUUAAUCUAUUGAGACACUGCUUUACCUGGACUGAGACAACAAACUGUAAUCUACAACAAAUUGUAACUCGGUAUCUUUGCUAACAGUGUUAUUGCUGGUAUAAUUUUUCCAAGGGCUUCUUGCAUGGAGCCAUCAAUUGGCUUGGUAUUGUGACAUUUUGUAUCCUCCCCUUCUGCUUGUAGCAGAUUAUUUAUGGGGUUUGUGAAAAAACCACUAUGGUCGUUAUUUAAAUUAAACAAAAGGGGGAAAUGUUAGAGUCUAUAAACAAGUCAGGAUGGCACCUGGCAAAUGUUAGAGUCUGUAAACAAGUCUGGAUGGCACCUGGCAUUUUGCCAGAGGGAGUGGUUUGUGAAGUAAUGCCAGCGAGCCAUUAAGUGUGGAGAUUCCUUAUUGGUUGACUGAUGUAUCUAGUUUAUGUUAAUUAGAUAAGCUGUGUGGAAUGUAUAAAUACCCCUCCUGUCCUACAAUAAACAGCUCCUACUCCUGCUAUAUCAAUCUACACAAGUUGUUCGUCACCCCCCGGUUAUUUUGCCCAGCCAGCCGGGCUGCGGCAGUGCAUGACAUCCCUAGCCCUGCGUCCUGAUCAGACAGAAAUAUGUAUGUCCUAGAGGAGGGAAGGGUAUGGCCUGAGUUCACAGAGUAUUUUAAGUGUGAGCUGGGGCCUCAGUUUGGAUAUUUUUGCCCACGCACUGCAGAAAUCUCAGCAUUGUUGGAUAACAGGAGAGAGGAUGAAAGAGAGAGAAAAGUACCAAUCUUUGUAGAGAAAGAUAUCCACCUGGGAAAGAGAGAGGAAAGAUAUAGAUCUUCUCAGAGAUUGAUCUUAGAGAAAGAAAGCUGUCAGUCUUCUUAGGGAGGGAUAGAAAGAUAUGGACCAGAGAGAGAGAGAGAGAGAUUGAUCUUUUUCCUUCUAUAAAAGAAAUGGAAGUGUUCCUCCAUGCUGACCUCACUGUAUCUAUGCACUCACUUCACUGUGUUGCUGACCCAACCUCUCUGUAGCUGGAUUCCAUCCCCAAUUCUGUCCCUGGACUCAGAGGGUUUUAGGGGGAAAGGGUAGGACAGAGUGUCACACAGCUCUGUUGGCUCCAUGGAAGCGGAUCCCCUAGUCCCCACAUUCCUUCUGCUCACUUCUCAUCAGCUGGAACUUGUGGUCACUCACCGGCAAGAGAGGUGAAGAAUGACAACCUUGUAGCUUGGAGAGUAGCUCACCCUAGAGAGAGGGAAAGAUAUCAAUCUUCUCAAAGAUCGAUCUUAGAGGAAGAAAGCUGUCAAUCUUCUUAGAAACCAAGUCUUAGUUCUGAAGAAAUGGCCAAAGUGAAAAUCAUGUGUUCAAGAGCAGACUCUUUCCUUUCCCAAACCCCAAGAUGAAGGGGUCGAAACAGAGUGUUCUGGGGGUCUAGGCAGUGGUUUAUCUGUCACCAAACCAGGCCUGUCAUGCCUCCCUCACAGUGUGAUCCUCCCUGAAUCUGCAAGUUGCUAGAAAGAGAGUUCAUUCACGAGAUGGCUGACUCAAAUUCAUCUCCCUGAGGCUUAGGGGUUUUAUGUGAUAAGAAAGCCAGUGAAAGGGGAUUUGAGGUGAGGGAUUCUGUUAGUGAAUCUACAUAUCACUUGAUGGGACAGGUGUUCAGAAAAUGGCCACAGUAGCAUGAUCUGAGGGCGGAAUGUUUGGCCUUUUGACAUCAAAUGCUCACCCAUAGGACUCAUGUGCAGGCCCAGUUGAAAGACUGGGGGAUUUCAGCUGCUUUGAGCUAAACAAAAACCUGCUAGUUUUUGAAAAGCAACUUAGGCAAACAUUAACCUGUGACCUGAAUAGUUGAAUUGUUAUCUAUGGCAAAGCUAGUGGGAGUCUUGUAUUUUUUAGCUAUAUGAGAUAUAGAAUUGGGCAUAAAACCAUGUGAAAUAAGAGUGCUUAUUCAAGUUUUUCUUAGGUUCAUUGUAAGAGCAGAGAAGGGGAGAUGCCUCCCAAUGCAAUAGACAGGGGAGAGGUCUGUAUAAAUUAGCAAGAAAAAGGAAUAAGUAUUAAUUUGUGAGGAAAUGAUCAAGGUAAAGUACAUAGUUAAGCAAAAGCAAAAUGUUAAGAGUAUCUCCCUUCGUACAGAGAAUGUUAGCAUGCCAUGUUAAAACAAAUGCUAGCGACGUUUCUUUUACAAAAUGCACAUGAACCAUUAUGGUGAAGUAGGGCUGGUAGUAAUUAAGUUUGCAGAGAGUUACAAAUUAAAGCAAGGCAGGAUGGGCAAAUAACAUCAGACAGGUGGACUCUACAUUUCCAACAUGUGGUGUGAUGCAGUGGUGGAAAGCAAAGUUGCAGCAGAAAUAAAGCAGUGAGGAGCCUGCCUGGAGUAAGCCAGAUGAUGGCCAAAUUCCCAAAGCCAACGCUGCUAGAAAUGGCAGGCAACUCAAUAAAAACACAUCGACAGGGAGGGGCUUCAAUACAUGUCUAUCAAAAUUAGAUAAAUAGAGAAUAAUACCUUGGAUUUAGUAUGUACAUCAUUGCUAAUAGCAACAGAAAACAACAUGUUAUUUGUAGGUCCACAGAAUCACUGCAAAAAUUAAUUAUAUAUUUGGCCACAAAAGAAACCUUAACCGAGUUAGAAGAAAAAGAUAUAUAUUUAAUCAAGGUCUAAUAAGAUUAGUAUAAAUGGUUGCAUUUUCAUUUAGAAAAUUCAAGAAACGCACAUCUCGAGUACACUCAGACUAAAAAGAGAACUGACUCUCGAGGCAGAUUUGAAAUCUGUUGAGAAAGCUCUGAAAAGAACCCUUUGUUCUCAAACUCCUGGGACAUAAACAAAACUGUAUUUAGCGGAGAAAUUAAGUCUGUGUGACUUCUGUAUUGAAAUAGCAAGACAAAAUAGCAGGACCUACAUGGUUUAAGUACCAAAGGAAACUGGGAGGAAGUAACUGAUAAAAAUCAAAGCAAAUUAAUGAGCUGGGAAACCAAAGUGUAUUUAUAUUCACGUUUAUAUCAAAAAUGUAGGGAUUCUGUGUUUGGGAUUGAGGUCUCUGAUAGCUUCAUGAUUGUGGCAUGCUUAAUGGCUAGGAAGUUUCUGUGCAAAGACACAGAAUGCCUGGCUGCUGGGAAAACUUCUGUGGAAAGACACAGGAAGCCUGGCUGCUGCAGCAGUGUCCUUUAGGAGCAAACUCUGUGUUAGAGUCUUAUCAGCCUCAGCCUUGAUGUCAGGCACACAGCUCCUGGGAAUAAAGGAACUCUCUUAUUAGAACACCACAAUGUUUCAAUGAACCUAAACCCAUCUGCAUAACAGUAACUUUUUACAAUGGACUUUCUUGAAAGCUACACAAAGUUCCUAACAUUGCACAUUUUAACUUAGUAUGUGACUGAGGAAUAAGCUGCAUAAUGUUGCUAAGUCUGUAACCUGCCUAGUAAGACAAUGAACAGUAUGUAUUAAUGAUGCCAAUGACCUAAAGUAACCUGUUGAUAUAAAUAAAGCUUGGCAGCUUGGCCUCUCUGCCAUUCUGCCAUCUUUCUUUCCUGCUUCUGCA
rnacentral:lncRNA from 1 species